CCUACGGGUGGCAGCAGUGAGGAAUAUUGGUCAAUGGGCGCGAGCCUGAACCAGCCAAGUAGCGUGAAGGAUGAAUGCCCUACGGUUUGUAAACUUCUUUUAUAAAGGAAUAAAGUGAGGCACGUGUGCCUUUUUGUAUGUACUUUAUGAAUAAGGAUCGGCUAACUCCGUGCCAGCAGCCGCGGUAAUACGGAGGAUCCGAGCGUUAUCCGGAUUUAUUGGGUUUAAAGGGAGCGUAGUUGGGUUGUUAAGUCAGUGGUGAAAGUUUGCGGCUCAACCGUAAAAUUGCAAUUGAUACUGGUCGACUUGAGUACAGUUGAGGUAGGCGGAAUUCGUGGUGUAGCGGUGAAAUGCUUAGAUAUCACGAAGAACUCCGAUUGCGAAGGCAGCUUACUAAACUGCCACUGACACUGAUGCACGAAAGUGUGGGGAUCAAACAGGAUUAGAUACCCCUGUAGUC
rnacentral:rRNA from 1 species